rnacentral:lncRNA from 1 species
CAUGCAACAAAACCAUAAAAAUUGAAUUUAAAUCAAAGGAAUAUGUCAACAGAAAUUAGCUAAAAGGCAGUACAGAAGAUAUAAUAUAAUGUACUACAGAAUAUCAUCAAAUCAUGAUUGUGUUUUGAUUGUCUAUUGCUUACUUUUUUCUUUCGUAUUAUGUUUUGCCUAAACAAACUCUGUUUAUGCAUAUAGGCAUGCUUGAUUAACUUUGUUUGAGUUGGAUUUGUUUGUGCUUGAUAACCUAUUUUGCAGUUCAAAUUUCCCUUUCUUUUUGGAAAAUAAUGACUGUAGCGCAACCUAUCCGAAUCCGUGAAUAAUGACUGGACCUUCCAAGUAAACGGCUCCAUUAUUUGGUUGACUGAGUCGAACCACAUGGGACAAGGGGGACAAGGUUCUCGUGGUCCUUAGCACCGGCAUUUGUAGAAGGAGGCAGCUCCCAUUCUUUUCUCGUCCUUCUUUCUAUCUCGGCUAGACUUUCAAAUUCUUUUAUAGUGGAGUCGUUAGAAAAAACUUCGACGAUGCGGCUGCCAUCCUUUUCUCGUCCUCCUUCCUACCUCUUUCGUCUGUCUAGAGACUUCCAAACUCUUUUAUGCUCACCGGCAUUUGUAGAAGGACGUGGGUGAGUCGUUGGAAAGAACUUCGACGACGCGGCUCCUAUCCUUUUCUCGUCCUCCUUCCUAUCUCUUUCGCCUGGCUAGACUUCCAGACUCUUUUAUCUCACCGGCAUUUGUAGAAGGGGGCGGGGGAGUCAGUUGGAAAACGCGACUCUCAUACUUUUCUUGUCCUCCUUCCUAUCUCUUUCGCUUGGCUAGACUUCUAGACUUACUCUUUAUUCCUGGCUCAGGCUAGUUUGCUGCUCAAGAAAACUCGAGAUGAUUUUCGGAACCUCUUUUUCUCCCUCAGAAGACAAGAAGGAGGAUGAUUGGCUUCACAACUCUUCCUUUCCUUUGGAUGAUUGGCUAUGCAACUGUUUAUCCUGCUUCGCCAAGACUCCUUGAAUAAAAACCUCCAACUAUUCAGGGAUUUGUAGAGUCGGAUUGGUUUGAUCGUUUCUGAGUUGAGGGUCGCCUAAGAAGUCUCUUACUGUACUGGGGACCGGUUGGUUGGGCCAGGAAGUCUC